UCUUGGGGACAACCAUAGCAACCAAAUCAAAGCCAGAGUAUUACACAGAGGAGAGAAGCCAACUGUGAAUGGGUGGACAGAUUAAAAUGCUUAUGACCACAAGUGUGAAAGAAUCACACACAGCCAAAGGAGGAACCUCAACUACACCCCCUUUACAGGUGGAAUCAUCGUACUGCAAAUGAACAUCAAGCUACAAGUAAAGUAUAUGCUACAAAGAAGGGGAGCAUGGGGUUAUGGUAUCACAAAAUAGGAGGCUUGACCCAAUCUGAGAGACUAGGAAAUGACAAAUGAGCAAGAAGAUAUUAGGACAAUAAGCUAUUGUCUGGAGAAGAAAAGAUAGGCAGCAAGUUGAGUGGGUC
rnacentral:lncRNA from 1 species